rnacentral:rRNA from 1 species
AACUCCAAGAAUACGCGAAGGAGGUGGCCCGGGUCGGCAUCGGCGCCGUCCGGCGCGGGCCACGGGCCCGCUUCCAAGUGCGUCUGCGCGCCGGCCACCCACGCCGGGUCCUUCAAGUGCCGCUUCCACCGCACCAACUCCCAGGGCCAGGGAAGUCGCCCUUCUUCGCCCCCUUCACCGGUCGCGGCCAACGCGGUGCCGCGGCACCCGGCCUCGCCGUCUUCGUCCUCCGCACCGUCGCGAGCCAGUGACGCAGCCCAAGCAUCGGCCUCGAGAAUCAAGAACACUCGACAAUGGAGAGGGAAGGGAAGAUCAUAUACAUGUCAUAAGAAAGGGAGUUUAUUUACUGCUCCCUCGAUGUAUUGUUUCCUUUGUUUGGAGAUUGAUUACCAUCCGUGA